rnacentral:miRNA from 1 species
UACCAGGAGCAGUAGGCUU